AGUGAACGCUGGCGGUAGGCCUAACACAUGCAAGUCGAACGGCAGCACAGUAAGAGCUUGCUCUUACGGGUGGCGAGUGGCGGACGGGUGAGGAAUACAUCGGAAUCUACUUUUUCGUGGGGGAUAACGUAGGGAAACUUACGCUAAUACCGCAUACGACCUACGGGUGAAAGCAGGGGAUCUUCGGACCUUGCGCGAUUGAAUGAGCCGAUGUCGGAUUAGCUAGUUGGCGGGGUAAAGGCCCACCAAGGCGACGAUCCGUAGCUGGUCUGAGAGGAUGAUCAGCCACACUGGAGCUGAGACACGGUCCAGACUCCUACGGGAGGCAGCAGUGGGGAAUAUUGGACAAUGGGCGCAAGCCUGAUCCAGCCAUACCGCGUGGGUGAAGAAGGCCUUCGGGUUGUAAAGCCCUUUUGUUGGGAAAGAAAAGCAGCAGGUUAAUACCCCGCUGUUCUGACGGUACCCAAAGAAUAAGCACCGGCUAACUUCGUGC
rnacentral:rRNA from 1 species